UUGUGUAAAAUAACUUGUUGAAUAAAUUGAAAUUGUUAAAUUUGUUUCAUUGUACUCGGAAAUGUAAAUUCCGUCAGAGAAUGAAGAUAAUGUUCUGAUGAAGUCAGUCUUUUUGAGCAUUCAGAAAAGAACGGUCGCAAAAUGUUGUGUAACACAUUUUGUAUAUUCUUUAUGAAAAAUUUAAAUAAAUAAAUUUGUCUCAUUAUAUUCGGAAAUUGGAAUUGCGUCAGAGAAUGAAGAUAAUGUUAUGAUGAAUAUUAUCUUCAUUCUCUGAAGCAAUUCACCUUACCGAAUAUAGUGAGACAAAUUUAUUUAAUUCAAUUUAUUAUAAAGACUAUAUAAAAUGUUUUACACAACAUUUUGCGACCGAUCUUUUCCGAAUGCUAGAGAAGACUGACUGAAUAAAGAGAAUCUUUAUUCUCUGACGCAAUUCACCUCUCCGAAUACAAUGAAACAAAUUUAUUUAUUUCAAUAAAUGUCCAAAUUUCCGGGUUAAGAACGGAGCUGGAUAAUCCCGGAAAGUUUAAGGAUGGACUUGUGAAAGCAAUGGAUCUUCAACUUCUUAGAGCGGAGCAGGCUACAGGGAAAGUUGAUAGAUGAACUUGUCAAGGCGACGGUCUUUAAAGUGCUUAGAGAGUAGCGGAGCUGGAAUGACAAACCAAAGAUCGGUUUGAGUCGCUUUGAACGGACAAUCAAUCUCUCAGAGUGGAGUUGGAAAUGGAGAAUAGAGAUGGAGCGGAUACGGAUUUCGAGUCUCAACUACAUAAAUGUACUAAGGCCAAGACAAGCAGGAUCUACAACUUACUUCUCAUUAACUUUACCGCCAGAAAGUGAAAAUUUCACUAUAUAAUAUCUUGUUUUUAGCUAUUUUUGUAAUUGAAAAAGCUAUAUAAGCUAACAAGAGCUUAACAAUUAUGAAACUAUAAAUUUUAAUAUAAUAUACAAUCUUGUGAAUAUGGCUAAAA